rnacentral:rRNA from 1 species
ACUCGCGGCCUAUCAGCUUGUUGGUGGSGUAUUGGCCUACCAAGGCGACGACGGGUAGCCGGCCUGAGAGGGUGACCGGCCACACUGGGACUGAGACACGGCCCAGAMUCCUACGGGAGGCAGCAGUGGGGAAUAUUGCACAAUGGGCGCAAGCCUGAUGCAGCGACGCCGCGUGAGGGAUGACGGCCUUCGGGUUGUAAACCUCUUUCAGUAGGGAAGAAGCGAAAGUGACGGUACCUGC